rnacentral:tRNA from 1 species
GCCGGAGUGGCGAAAUUGGUAGACGCACGGGACUUAAAAUCCCGAGGGCUGAAAGGCCCGUGCCGGUUCGAAUCCGGCCUCCGGCACCA